rnacentral:tRNA from 2 species
GUGAGUGUGGCGAAGGGGUUAACGCACCGGAUUGUGAUUCCGGCAUACGUGGGUUCGAUUCCCAUCACUCACCCCA